CCUACGGGAGGCAGCAGUGGGGAAUAUUGGACAAUGGGGGUAACCCUGAUCCAGCCAUGCCGCGUGUGUGAAGAAGGCCCUCGGGUUGUAAAGCACUUUCAGUGAGGAAGAACGCCUGGUGGUUAAUACCCAUCAGGAAAGACAUCACUCACAGAAGAAGCACCGGCUAACUCCGUGCCAGCAGCCGCGGUAAUACGGAGGGUGCGAGCGUUAAUCGGAAUUACUGGGCGUAAAGCGCGCGUAGGUGGCUUGAUAAGCCGGUUGUGAAAGCCCCGGGCUCAACCUGGGAACGGCAUCCGGAACUGUCAAGCUAGAGUGCAGGAGAGGAAGGUAGAAUUCCCGGUGUAGCGGUGAAAUGCGUAGAGAUCGGGAGGAAUACCAGUGGCGAAGGCGGCCUUCUGGACUGACACUGACACUGAGGUGCGAAAGCGUGGGUAGCAAACAGGAUUAGAUACCCCAGUAGUC
rnacentral:rRNA from 1 species